UUUUAUUAUUAGUUUAGAACAUGAUUGGGGACUACGAGCAAUAGCUUAAAAACCCAAGAAUUUGGCGGUGUCUUAUUCAAUCAGAGGAAUCUGUCUCAUAAUCGACAACCCACGAAAAAUAUACCUGUUAUUCAAAGCUUUAGCUUGUGUACUGCCGACUAUAUAGGCCCUUAAAGUAACCUAUAAUAAAUUUAUAUAAAUCAUGUGUCAGGUCAAAGUGCAGCUUAUAUACAGGAGAAGAUGGAUUACAGUCUAUAAAAUAGUCAAAAGUAUACUAAAAUAAUAUACUUAAGAAGAAUUUGAUAGUAAUGGUAUUAACAAAAUAACAUGAAAAUGAACUUAAGACAAG
rnacentral:rRNA from 1 species